rnacentral:tRNA from 1 species
GGGUGGGUGUCCGAGUGGUUUAAGGAACCGGUCUUGAAAACCGGCGUGCGUGAGAGCGUACCGUGGGUUCGAAUCCCACCCCAUCCGCCA